GUUUCUUGUUUCACAUUCGCCGUUAUUUGAAUUCAGUUUCGUUUCAUCCUACUUUUAACUUCCGGCGAUAAAAUCAAAAUCAGAUCUCUAAGUCGGAUGAUGAUGAUCAACGGAUGAUAUUGCGUCCGAUUCACAAAAGCAUAAAGACGUUCUCGCGCCGUCGCGUAUCUCGGAAGCUUUAAAAUCCGUAUCUAGAUAUUAGAUCUUUGAUUGAAUAUUAGUUUUUUCGUGUUUGUUUCUAUAGUUUUCAAUAUACGGCGCCGUUUUGAUUGUGGAGUGAACAAUAUCACAAUGCCGUUUCACACGAAAAUCCAACCGAUCGAUUCCGAUGUACCGGAGCGUGAGGUGGAGAUGCCUUUCCCCGAGACGAUGAAGCAAAUGCCGAAAUCGCGGUUGAAGCGUCUCUUUGAGCGUCAGUUCAGUCUAAAGAACAACAACGCCUCAGAGGCGGCGGCGGCGGCACCACCGUUGUUGUUAGAGGCGGCGGCUCGGGAGAUUUCGAGCCGAGCUCGGUCUGUUUGGCGAAAAUGGUUGUGAAUUUCAUGGAGGAUAACAACAGCAAUAGUAGUGAGAAGCAUGGUCGUGGCAGCCGAUGCAGCUGCUUUUCCGGCGGGAGUGGGACUGAGAGCUCUGACGAUGAGUCUGAUUCGUCUGACGAUUUGGGAGCUUCUUCUGCCUCUGGCGAAGGUCGCGUGACUCUCAAGAGCUUGGUUCCUUGUACGAGCAUACGUGAGAUGAGGUUGUUGGGUGAUGUGACCAAGAUUGUGGAAACAAGUAAGAGUUGCAAACGAAACUUGAAGAUUGUUGUCGAUGAGUUGGUGAGGUUAGGUUAUGAUGCAGCUCUCUGCAAGUCUCGCUGGGACAAGUCUUCUUCUUACCCUGCUGGGGAAUAUGAGUAUAUGGAUGCGAUAAUCGAUGGCGAAAGACUGUUGAUCGACAUUGAUUUCAAAUCGAAUUUCGAGAUUGCUCGUGCAACCAAGACUUACAAGUCGAUUCUGCAGACUCUGCCUUGCGUUUUUGUUGGCAAAGCGGAACGGUUGCAGAGGAUCGUUAUCCUUAUAUGUAAAGCCGCGCAGAAGAGUUUGAAGAAGAAAGGACUUCAUGUGCCGCCAUGGAGGAGAGCCGAGUAUGUUAAAUCAAAGUGGAUGUCUCCUUAUGUUCGUGGACCAGAUGCACAAGAAGACAAGCAGGAACCAGUAGAUGUUUUGACCAAAUCGGUAGGUUCCAUAGUCUUUGGUGUUUGAAGAUUGUGUGAAGCUUUUAUAUAUUAUGACAUAAAAGCCUCUAGAGAGGUGUGUGAGAGGAGUGUUCGAAUCCCUUAUAGUUUUUUUAUGUUAAGGGUAUGAACUUGGUAUAUCACAGUGCGUCUCAACUUAUCUUUUUUUUUUGGGUGUAAGGGAGACUGUGAUCCAACUCUGGUACUCUGUCGUUGCUUUUGUGGGACUGUUAUUAUUAACCAAUAAUUAUUACCU